UACGUAGGGUGCGAGCGUUAAUCGGAAUUACUGGGCGUAAAGCGCACGUAGGCGGGUUUGUAAGUAGGGGGUGAAAUCCCAGAGCUCAACUCUGGAACUGCCUUCUAAACUGCAAGCCUGGAGGUCAGGAGAGGCGAGUGGAAUACCGAGUGUAGAGGUGAAAUUCGUAGAUAUUCGGAAGAACACCAGUGGCGAAGGCGACUCGCUGGACAGACAUUGACGCUGAGGUGCGAAAGCGUGGGGAGCAAACAGG
rnacentral:rRNA from 1 species